GGCUGCGUGGCGCAGUGGAAAGCGUACUGGCUUUGGGCGGUCCAUGAUGCUCACGCUCAUGCCGUUGCUUGUCUGCCAGGGGUCAUGGGUUCAAUCCCCAUCGCAGCCC